AAGGAACAUAAGCCAAGGGCUGGUCAUGCAGGUGUGACCAUUGGGGAGAAUUGGUUUAUUGUUUGUCGUGGAGACAAUUAAAGUGGGGCAUCCGAAACUGUAGUGCUUAACAUGUCAACCGUAGCCUGGUCAUUGUGACAUCAGUUGAAGGAUGUGUUCCUCUUGCUAGUGAGGGUUUAAGUCUGGUUGUAGGCUCGCUUAAUGGGGAAGAUAUACUUAUAUCUUUUCGAGGUUACAAUAGGUGCUACAACAGUGAGGCUGAGGAUAGAGCUCACAGGUGAAGGCAGACAACUGCGGUCAACAUUUACAUUUUUUGUGCAAAGGUGUGCGUAUAUUAUAGCAG